GAUGAUCCCAUGUCAACAUGUCGCAAGAUCGUAAACUGGAAAUCACAUUUAAAGUUUCCUGAGGAAGCUAAGCUAUCUUCAGAAGCGGAAGAUCUUAUUGGCAAACUCCUUUGCCAUGUCACCCAGCGACUAGGUUCGAAUGGUGCUGAUGAAAUAAAGGUCCACCCGUGGUUUAGAGGAAUAGACUGGGACAGAAUCUAUCAUAUUGAUGCCGCCUUCAUCCCUGAAGUUAC
rnacentral:misc_RNA from 1 species